CCUAGGGCAGGCCAGAGUCCCUCUCAGGCUUGUUUGGGGUCAGGUGGGGACAGGUGAGGGAGGUGGGGCAUACUGGGCUCAUAUGUCUAGACUAGCUUCUUACUAGAUCCUCAUUCCCAGAAUGUCAGUUGAAAGCGACCUGGAGAGGGUACUCUCCACAAUCCCCAGGCCCACCCCCAGCCCCCAGGGUCUCCUGGCGCCAGUACUUACUAUUUGGUACCCUUGAGAAGUCCUUUCACUUCAUGACUCAGUUUGCUUAUCUGUAAGUUGGGGCAAAUGAUGAGGGAAUCCUCCCUGGGACAUUGUGAGGAUUGUAACUGCUGUUACCAGAUGUGGAGUGGGCAGGACCUCUGGGCAGUGUGCAAGACACAUCUGGCACAGAGACUAGGAAUGGGGCCCUGGGCCUGCACCCCGGCAUGAGGACGCAUCCCCUAAGAAGACGUACCUCAGGAGGUGAUGGCAGAGGGACCGAUGGAGCCUGGAGUUGGAGGCAGGUUCUGUGCUCUGAUGGAAAAACUCCCCGAACCUGUUGGGAGUCACGGUGGGAGAAGAGCUUGUCCUGGCUGCCUGGCCCUGAACCUCCACUCUCAUGGGGCAGCAGGGACGGUGUCUGGGUGGGAUCCCACUUCUCUGCUCCCUCCUGGCCCACCAGAGACAGGAAAGCAGUGGCCUAAGAGAACACAGCAAGCGGUUGCACACCUGGCUCCAGAAGCCAGACCUUCCCCCAGGUGUGAACCAGACCUGCGAAGGCAUCACUUUGCUGUCAGAACCAUGGUUCUCAACACUUUGGGGGUCCUGAAGCCCUUUGAAAAGAUGACAAAGGUUAUGAACCUUCUCCCCAGGAGGACACACAUACUCCCGUAGACGCCAGAAGCAGGUCCAGGAGCUCCUGGACUCCAGGCUGAGAUCCUCGGCCCUGGGACCGACCCAGCACCCUUUCCUUACCUAACCCAGAGCCCCAGGUCUGGGCCUCUGUACAAGUAGCAUUUCUUUCCCCUCCUUCCUCACACCCAUCUUCCUUCCCUUGUUCAGGAAUAAAGAAUUCUGAGGAGGGGC